GAGGAAAUAAAAACUGCCCGCGGUAGCUACCACGCAUCCCACGAUCGGCCUCCCCUAGUAGUCGUCGCUGGCCUAGACCACGCCGCCGGCACGGCUCGCCGCAGGCGCACGCUUCCACCUCGGAAUCCCGUGCGGCCUCGCCGGAUUUACCCCCAAAAUCCAAUGCCCACCUUACCCUAGAAACCGCACCGCCAGCGUCGCCUUCCCCUGCAACCACCGCCUUCGUUUUCCCCUACAACCACCUGGAUCUUCGCCGCCGGCUGGGUGCUCGCCGCCGACGCAGCUCCUCCCUGCAGCUUCCCCAGGGUCACCCCACGGCCUCCAUAAUCCCACCGCCGCCUCCCGGCCUCCCCUGGCGCGGCCGCCCCAAAAUCCGUCUGCCUGGAGCCCCGUGCUCCUCCCCCUCCCUCCUGGUCGAGCUUAUCCAUGGUGGGCACAGAGUUCGCUGGAGAAUCAGAGGGAGGACCGUGGUGGCUGUGAGCUCACGGUGCGCAAAGGGAGGGAGGAGGGAGGACCCUUUUUCUCGUUGUUAUCUUAAUUGGGCGAUGAUCCUCCAAACAAUUUCAGUGGAUUGAAGAAAAUAACUGAGAUGCAGCAGGACAUAUGUUGAAAACUGUAAGUACAUGAGUUCGUUCCUGUAAGUACAGGCAUACUCUGUGCCCAAAAGUUGUUUGUUCUUAUGUCAGAAAGGUUGAGAAUGGCAGCAUCGUCGGUGCUCCAGUUCAUUGCCACGUCCCUUGCGCACACAACAUACAGGCCUUGGGAGCCUCACGUCCCUGCACCCCUUGGAUCGCCCACUGUUCGCUAGCUUUUUUCUUGUACGGAGUAGUUGAAGGUUCAGAAUUUUUAUGAAUCAUAUUACCGUGAGACUGAAAAUUGCCUUCUCGAAAGAACAAUGUUUCUAUUUGUGCAGUACAGUUUUGCGGACCGCACAUAGCGUCGCCAUGGCUCACCGUAUCUAGGGCGCCGCGCGCUUUUUCACCGCUCCACCGUGACUGGCCGACUUGUGCAGCUCCUGCGGCGCCGGCCGCCGCCGCGUUACGCUGCUGUAGGCCCGCUGCAAAGCUCCUGCCAAGAUGCGACCUGCCGGCGUCUCGUGCGCGUCUUUCCCUCCGUAUUGCCUAUGGGUGAGGGUCGCUGUCUCUGCCAAACUUCCUGUCUCCCCCCCCGCCCCCAUCUUGCCCCAUCUCGAGUAGCCUCCAAGCUCCCCCCCCCCCCGGCUCAUGCCGCCACCGUGGGCAUAGCCACGGCGAUCUCCCCCUGUCCAACACCAUUGCACCCUCACCCAGCUGUUAGGAUGGCCGUGUAAGAUGGCUUCCUUGGCAAAGCUCUGGCCAUGGACGCAUGCGCGCGAAGAAACGAUUAUUAUCUGAACUGUGGCUUCCUUUUCUAUUAUCUCAUUUGCGUGGAUGGGGAGAUGGCUAGGGAAUUUCAGUCUCAAUUUCGUUCGCGCUUCUUUGUCCCGAUGAAUUGCACUGCCCUGCUCUAAGUAAUUGUCCUGCCUAGUCUAUUUGGCCGCACUUCACUAUGCGGCUCCGAGCAGUCUGCCAUGCAUAGCCUGGAUUUCAACUGCGCCUCCCCCCAGCAGUUACGAGUCCACCAUGCUCCUUUCACCGAACUGGCCCGGCUUCCUCUGAAACUCUUCCCUAUAUGAAGGCUUGUUCUCGUAAUCGUCCGUCUCAGCCAGCACCUAGCAUUUUUCUGAUAAUAAUCUGAAGUUGAUGUCCUAUUUCUCCUAACAAUCUCUGUAUGAAUGAAAAAAUAGGGCAGUACAGGUGCAUUCCUGUUGGCAGUGCAAGUACAUUAUCAAGGGCAGUACAUGUGUGAUUGUAGAGCGUAAUUAUAUAGACCCCAAAAAGGAGGCAGUGAGUUCGGGUGAAUGUUUAUUUCCAACGACCAUGUAGUUGCUGCAUCAUGUGAUUAUAUUUGCUUGUGCGUGUGAGUUUCUUCUGAACACGUGUGUCCUUGUGCUUGCAUAGAGCUAGUUACAUUUGUCCCAUAAAUUGUUAAAUCUUACAGUGUAGUUGCAAUUGACUAUGACCUGCUGUCUUGGUAGAUUCUAUCCGUGUUGAUGUUGAAACUUCGUACAAAAUGAAUACAUUUGGCGAGAAGUACAAGUCAUCCUCCGUCGGCAGCACAGGCACAUUUUCAGGUUAAGUACAUGGUAUCGGAGAACCGGUUUGAUAUGUCCAUUAGACAGGCACUCUGCAUCUCUCUUUCUCUUAUUGAUUUUAGUUUGUGAUUGCAAAAGUUUGCCAUGAGAUCGCGGCUAAAAAAAUCUUUUGGUGCCCCCAAUACUGCCUACAACAGCACAUGGUAUGCUUCAUGCAUGGCUGGCCGGCUAUUUAUCUACCUCUUGCAUUGGUAGUUCUUAAUUUUUUUAGUUCGUUAUGUAUUGGUACGGCGCUCAGUGAAAACUCCUAAUGAUUGCAGGGAUUCGGCCUUAAGGCAGCUAUAUGAAGCACUCAACAGAGAAGUCAGUACUCUGCAUGUGAUCCCAAUCCGGCAAGUUCUUUCGAGCCUGAAACUAAAUCAUGCUGUGCUCAUUUCUUUGCGUCCCCUUGUGUGUAUGUAGGGGAGAACUAUCCGGUGAUUAUAAGACCAGGCAGUCUGCCCGAUGAAGUAGCUAGUUUGACCAGCGGGCACGUUUGAUGGAAAUUGCUUAGGUACAACAAUGGGAGCAUACGACUCCUGCUGAUGUUGUUGCCAAGGAUAGAGACGAGAAACUGGUUGUUAGCGCAUAUGCAUGGACCGUGCCGAGUUUCCGCAAAGAUUACUACGUCCGGGCGGUCACUUGUUCA